GCAAUCUUAUCUACGCUAGAUAUGACAAUUGUUAGGGAGAAAGAAAACUCCAAAAGGUAAGUAGUCGCCAGAAUAUACUGAUAAUAUUU
rnacentral:ncRNA from 1 species